rnacentral:rRNA from 1 species
UAGGGAAUCUUCCACAAUGGGCGAAAGCCUGAUGGAGCAACGCCGCGUGAGUGAAGAAGGAUUUCGGUUCGUAAAACUCUGUUGUAAGGGAAGAACAAGUAGCGUAGUAACUGGCGUUACCUUGACGGUACCUUAUUAGAAAGCCACGGCUAACUACGUGCCAGCAGCCGCGGUAAUACGUAGGUGGCAAGCGUUGUCCGGAAUUAUUGGGCGUAAAGCGCGCGCAGGCGGUCCUUUAAGUCUGAUGUGAAAGCCCACGGCUCAACCGUGGAGGGUCAUUGGAAACUGGGGGACUUGAGUGCAGAAGAGGAAAGUGGAAUUCCAAGUGUAGCGGUGAAAUGCGUAGAGAUUUGGAGGAACACCAGUGGCGAAGGCGACUUUCUGGUCUGUAACUGACGCUGAGGCGCGAAAGCGUGGGGAGCAAACAGGAUUAGAUACCCUGGUAGUCCACGCCGUAAACGAUGAGUGCUAAGUGUUAGGGGGUUUCCGCCCCUUAGUGCUGCAGCUAACGCAUUAA